UACGGGGGGGGCAAGCGUUGUUCGGAAUUACUGGGCGUAAAGGGCUCGUAGGUGGCCAACUAAGUCAGACGUGAAAUCCCUCGGCUUAACCGGGGAACUGCGUCUGAUACUGGAUGGCUUGAGUUCGGGAGAGGGAUGCGGAAUUCCAGGUGUAGCGGUGAAAUGCGUAGAUAUCUGGAGGAACACCGGUGGCGAAGGCGGCAUCCUGGACCGACACUGACGCUGAGGAGCGAAAGCCAGGGGAGCGAACAGG
rnacentral:rRNA from 1 species